rnacentral:tRNA from 1 species
AAUGAAAUGGCUGAGAAAAUUAGGCGAUAAACUGUAAAUUUAUAUAUGAAUAAGAAAUUCUUUCAUUA